rnacentral:rRNA from 1 species
UACGUAGGCAGCGAGCGUUGUUCGGAGUUACUGGGCGUAAAGGGUGUGUAGGCGGUUCUUUAAGUUUGGUGUGAAAUCUCCCGGCUCAACCGGGAGGGUGCGCCGAAGACUGGAAGGCUUGAGUAUGGGAGAGGUAAGCGGAAUUCCUGGUGUAGCGGUGAAAUGCGUAGAUAUCAGGAGGAACACCUGCGGUGUAGACGGCUUACUGGACCAUAACUGACGCUGAGGCACGAAAGCGUGGGUAGCAAACAGG